GGAUUAGAUACCCUGGUAGUCCACGCCGUAAACGAUGUCUACUAGCCGUUGGGGCACUUGAUGCUUUAGUGGCGCAGCUAACGCGAUAAGUAGACCGCCUGGGGAGUACGGUCGCAAGAUUAAAACUCAAAUGAAUUGACGGGGGCCCGCACAAGCGGUGGAGCAUGUGGUUUAAUUCGAUGCAACGCGAAGAACCUUACCAAGACUUGACAUCCUGCGAACUUUCUAGAGAUAGAUUGGUGCCUUCGGGAACGCAGAGACAGGUGCUGCAUGGCUGUCGUCAGCUCGUGCUG
rnacentral:rRNA from 1 species